UACAGAGGUCUCAAGCGUUCGUUCGGAUUCAUUGGGCGUAAAGGUGUGUAGGUGGCGCCGUAAGUCGGGUGUGAAAUUUCCGGAGACCUUAACUCCGAAACUGCAGUUCGAGUACUGCGGUGCUUGAGGACUGGAGAGGAGACUGGAAUUCAUGGUGUAGCAGUGAAAUGCGUAGAGAUCAUGGAGGAAGACCAGUGGCGAAGGCGGGUCUCUGGGCCGUAACUGACGCUGAGGCGCGAAAGCUAGGGGAGCAAACGGG
rnacentral:rRNA from 1 species